rnacentral:tRNA from 2 species
CAAGACGUAGCUAUAACCUAAAGCAUUCAGCUUACACCUGAAAGAUAUCUGUUGCCUAUCAGAUCGCCUUGA